GGCCAGACGAACCCCCAUUUGGGAAGAGGAAAUGUCUUCCUCCCCUACAGUACCAUUUGCAAAACGUGCUUGGUUUAAUCUCUGCAAACCAGAGAGUUUAACUGAUUUGUGGGUGAUCACACAGCUAGGAAGGUAGAGAGCCAGGGCUCUUCUGACCCCUGACUGCAUGGAGGGAGACCACUUAGAAGAAAGGCCAUGAACUUGGAGAAAUCAAGGGAUCAAGUCAGACAUUGUGAAGAAGGAAAGAGAAUGCCUCCAAGGAUCACCAGAUAACCAACCCCCAGCUGCUGUUGACGCCCAGAAGUCAGAUUGCCCAGGGGCUUAUUGGGAGUGAAAGAAACACGGAUUACCCCUUUGUUUCUCGAAACUCCUCCUGCCACACCCCUUAGCUCUAUAAAACCCAUGCUUUCUUCUCUUGCGGAUUUGAGAGAACCCAUGCUUCCGCCUUCUUGUCUUGGCUGAUUCAAAUAAAGCUUUCUUCAUCUCCAAGCACCAAUGUCUCAGCGUUGGGCUUAUUGUGCAUUGGG
rnacentral:lncRNA from 1 species